rnacentral:tRNA from 1 species
GGGAAGGUAGCUCUGUGAUAGAGCACUUGCCUUGCAUGCAUGAGGCCCUGGGUUCGAUUCCUCAGCACCA